GAAAACAAUGUGAUAACAAAAAACAAAAAUGGCAUUAAUAUAUUGAGAUUAUGGAAAAUAUAAUUCAAAUCACAAAUUUUUUAGUAGAGAUUGACUUUAAGAUGCCCAAAUUGCUUCCAAACACUUGACUCUUAAAGUUUCUAAGGUAGAUAUUCAUUGAAAAUGAUUCUGGGCAUAAGAAAAGUCUCCACCAUUGCUCAGUGCCACAAAGAAACAGUUAUAGAGGAUCAUGAAAUAAAGUACCAACUGGAAAAGAGCAUCCAGAACCCUUUGAUUAAACAUGCUAAUGAUUAGUAAGAGAAAUAAAACUUCCUAGAGCAGCGAUUUUCAUGUUGUUAAAGACAACCACAACUGUGAGGCGAAACUGAACCAAGUAAUAGAAUCCCUCUAAAUUGAAACUAGCUGGAGUAAAGUAUAUUGGAGACUAACGGAGUUUUAAAAAAAGAAAGAAAAAAAAAAGAGUAAAUUCUAUAUCUCAAUCAGGGAGGCCUAUACUCGUGGUCUCUUGCAAAGUCAGGCCUUUUUAAAUUCGAAGGCGAGUACCUCAAGAAUUGCACAAAACCCAAAACUUCCUAGAGCUACCUCUUUACUUAUGAAAUUGCUAAUCUCUAAUUAAAAAAAAAAAAAUUGGGUUCAGAAAAGAAGAUCAUUAUUUAGAAGUUAUACGCAUAUUCAGCUAAGUAGCCAUGGCUUAGGUUAAUAGAAAGUUUUCUCCUUGGCAAGCAGAAGACAACCAGCCACUACCAAGCUAUUUUCCCAGUCAAAAUAACAGUUCUUGUAUAAAGCUCUCAACACCACCAACACUGAGCGUAAAACUCACAAACGGUCAAUAUAAAUCCCACGACUCGAUAAUUGUGAAUCCCGAAAGAAUGACACUAAUUGCUUCCCAGAAUUUGAAAAAAAAAAAAAAGAGAAGAGGAAGGAUAAAAUACAUCGCAUCAUAAAAACAGAGAAGUCUCAGCAUUAACCUAACCCUAGAAAUGAAAAUAAAAACCCUCUAAUUGGUUUCAAAAUUGAACUUUUACGUGAGUAAAAGCUCCGGCUAAAGCCAGAGACUCGAAACUUAGAACGUUAAAUGAUCUAACGAAAUCUGCAAAUAAAGAAAAAUAUAAAAUUUACGGAGAAUCAUGAGAAGAAAAUGAAAAGAAGCAGGUCCCCAUAAACAAGAAGAAGGACAAAAGUUGUUGAAGCUUUACCUGGGGGUUUGUGGGUUGAAGAUGGCGGCGGUCUGUUUGUGUUUAUGUUUUAUUUUGCUUGUAUUGAAGAACCAAA
rnacentral:lncRNA from 1 species